rnacentral:sRNA from 1 species
AAGAAUCCUGAUGCCCAAGCCAUGCUGCACACAUAUUAAGUCAGAUUCUGGAGAGUGGGCAGCUGGAUCCACGUCUACCCUAAUGGAUCCCUGUUUAUUGGAUCAGUAACAGAAAAAGACAGUGGUGUCUACUUGUGUGUGGCAAGAAACAAAAUGGGGGAUGAUCUGAUACUGAUGCAUGUUAGCCUAAGACUGAAACCUGCCAAAAUUGACCACAAGCAGUAUUUUAGAAAGCAAGUGCUCCAUGGGAAAGAUUUCCAAGUAGAUUGCAAAGCUUCCGGCUCCCCAGUGCCAGAGAUAUCUUGGAGUUUGCCUGAUGGAACCAUGAUCAACAAUGCAAUGCAAGCCGAUGACAGUGGCCACAGGACUAGGAGAUACACCCUUUUCAACAAUGGAACUUUAUACUUCAACAAAGUUGGGGUAGCGGAGGAAGGAGAUUAUACUUGCUAUGCCCAGAACACCCUAGGGAAAGAUGAAAUGAAGGUCCACUUAACAGUUAUAACGGCUGCUCCCCGGAUAAGGCAGAGUAACAAAACCAACAAGAGAAUCAAAGCUGGAGACACAGCUGUCCUUGACUGUGAGGUCAUUGGGGAUCCCAAACCAAAAAUAUUUUGGUUGCUGCCUUCCAAUGACAUGAUUUCCUUCUCCAUUGAUAGGUACACAUUUCAUGCCAAUGGGUCUUUGACCAUCAACAAAGUGAAACUGCUCGAUUCUGGAGAGUACGUAUGUGUAGCCCGAAAUCCCAGUGGGGAUGACACCAAAAUGUACAAACUGGAUGUGGUCUCUAAACCUCCAUUAAUCAAUGGUCUGUAUACAAACAGAACUGUUAUUAAAGCCACAGCUGUGAGACAUUCCAAAAAACACUUUGACUGCAGAGCUGAAGGGACACCAUCUCCUGAAGUCAUGUGGAUCAUGCCAGACAAUAUUUUCCUCACAGCCCCAUACUAUGGAAGCAGAAUCACAGUCCAUAAAAAUGGAACCUUGGAAAUUAGGAAUGUGAGGCUUUCAGAUUCAGCCGACUUUAUCUGUGUGGCCCGAAAUGAAGGUGGAGAGAGCGUGUUGGUAGUACAGUUAGAAGUGCUGGAAAUGCUGAGAAGACCGACAUUUAGAAAUCCAUUUAAUGAAAAAACAGUUGCCCAGCUGGGAAAGUCCACAGCAUUGAAUUGCUCUGUUGAUGGUAACCCACCACCUGAAAUAAUCUGGAUUUUACCAAAUGGCACACGAUUUUCCAAUGGACCACAAAGUUAUCAGUAUCUGAUAGCAAGCAAUGGUUCUUUUAUCAUUUCUAAAACAACUCGGGAGGAUGCAGGAAAAUAUCGCUGUGCAGCUAGGAAUAAAGUUGGCUAUAUUGAGAAAUUAGUCAUAUUAGAAAUUGGCCAGAAGCCAGUUAUUCUUACCUAUGCACCAGGGACAGUAAAAGGCAUCAGUGGAGAAUCUCUAUCACUGCAUUGUGUGUCUGAUGGAAUCCCUAAGCCAAAUAUCAAAUGGACUAUGCCAAGUGGUUAUGUAGUAGACAGGCCUCAAAUUAAUGGGAACUACAUAUUGCAUGACAAUGGCACCUUAGUCAUUAAAGAAGCAACAGCUUAUGACAGAGGAAACUAUAUCUGUAAGGCUCAAAAUAGUGUUGGUCAUACACUGAUUACUGUUCCAGUAAUGAUUGUAGCCUACCCUCCCCGAAUUACAAAUCGUCCACCCAGGAGUAUUGUCACCAGGACAGGGGCAGCCUUUCAGCUCCACUGUGUGGCCUUGGGAGUUCCCAAGCCAGAAAUCACGUGGGAGAUGCCUGACCACUCCCUUCUCUCAACGGCAAGUAAAGAGAGGACACAUGGAAGUGAGCAGCUUCACCUACAAGGUACCCUAGUCAUUCAGAAUCCCCAAACCUCCGAUUCUGGGAUAUACAAAUGCACAGCAAAGAACCCACUUGGUAGUGAUUAUGCAGCAACGUAUAUUCAAGUAAUCUGACAUGAAAUAAAGUCAACAUCUGGGCAGAAUUUAUUUUUUGGAAGAAGUUUAAUCAAAGGCAGCCAUAGGCAUGUAAAUGAAUUUGAAUACAUUUACAGUAUUAAAUUUACAAUGAACAUGCAAAAUAAAAGGACUUGUAAAUAAAUGCAUUAUGAACUGA